UCGAAUGAGGUUUGGGGGUGGAAAAAUACCCUAGCAGAUUUCUGAGAAAAGGGGUUAGGCCUAGGUCUAAGAAAAAACAUUUCGUGUUUUUUUUUAUUUUAUUGUUUUUUUUAGGUUUUUAUUAUUAUUAUUAGGGUGUUACACCCUACAUCUCCCCAAGUGGGACCUGUACCUCCCCACUCUUUUAUUUUAUUUCAAAAAUAUUCUACACCUCCC
rnacentral:lncRNA from 1 species